rnacentral:rRNA from 1 species
GACAGAGGGUGCAAACGUUGUUCGGAAUUACUGGGCGUAAAGCGUGUGUAGGCGGCCACGUAAGUCGGAUGUGAAAGCCCCAGGCUCAACCUGGGAAGUGCACUCGAUACUGCGUGGCUUGAGUAUCGGAGAGGUUGGUGGAAUUCUCGGUGUAGAGGUGAAAUUCGUAGAUAUCGAAGAGGAACACCGGUGGCGAAAGGCGGCCAACUGGACGAAUACUGACGCUGGAGGAAGCGAAAGCGUGGGGAGCGAAACAGG